GCUAUAAUGAACAGUUGGGGCUACUACAUAAGAACAGUUGCGGCACUCACCAACAAAGGCCUCGCCCACCCGCUCCAAUGGCAAACUGGUAGGAUCCCAAACCGAGACCUGGAAGCAUGGAGAAACAGGCCUCGCCCGUCCCGCUCAGAAACGUUUUGAAAAUUGGUUUGUUGUUGUAUAUGGAAGGCAUGAGAUGGACAGAGUAUGAUUGGUCGCUUUAUUUUUGGGCAUUGGAGGUGUAAGAUGGAAAGAACGAAAAGAUUGAUUGGCGUUGUAUAUCUGUUUGCGAUUGCGAUGCGAUUUGAUUCCUGUUGUGUAUGGAAAGUAUUAUUUGAAAAGGAUAAUAUUGUUUGGAAAGGAUGCCAUCGGUUAA